rnacentral:rRNA from 1 species
AUUGAACGCUGGCGGCAUGCCUUACACAUGCAAGUCGAACGGUAACGCGGGGCAACCUGGCGACGAGUGGCGAACGGGUGAGUAAUGCAUCGGAACGUGCCCAGAAGUGGGGGAUAGCCCGGCGAAAGCCGGAUUAAUACCGCAUGAGACCUGAGGGUGAAAGCGGGGGAUCGCAAGACCUCGCGCUUUUGGAGCGGCCGAUGUCAGAUUAGCUAGUUGGUGGGGUAAAGGCCUACCAAGGCGACGAUCUGUAGCUGGUCUGAGAGGACGACCAGCCACACUGGGACUGAGACACGGCCCAGACUCCUACGGGAGGCAGCAGUGGGGAAUUUUGGACAAUGGGCGCAAGCCUGAUCCAGCCAUGCCGCGUGCGGGAAGAAGGCCUUCGGGUUGUAAACCGCUUUUGUCAGGGAAGAAACGCUCUGGGCUAAUACCCUGGGGUAAUGACGGUACCUGAAGAAUAAACACCAGCUAACUACGU